rnacentral:misc_RNA from 1 species
GCCCGUCAAUUCCUUUAAGUUUCAACCUUGCGGCCGUACUCCCCAGGCGGUCGACUUCACGCGUUAGCUUCGUUACUAAGGGAUUUCACUCCCCCAACAACCAGUUGACAUCGUUUAGGGCGUGGACUACCAGGGUAUCUAAUCCUGUUUGCUACCCACGCUUUCGUACAUGAGCGUCAGUGUCAUCCCAGGGGGCUGCCUUCGCCAUCGGUGUUCCUCCACAUCUCUACGCAUUUCACUGCUACACGUGGAAUUCCACCCCCCUCUGACGCACUCUAGACUGCCAGUUCAAAACGCCAUUCCCAGGUUAAGCCCGGGGAUUUCACAUCUGGCUUAAGAGGCCGCCUGCGCACGCUUUACGCCCAGUAAUUCCGAUUAACGCUCGCACCCUACGUAUUAC